UAAGUCAAGUAGAAGCCAUCCGCUUCUCACCUUACGACGUUCGUUGUUAAGGUAUCUUCUGGUCUUGAGCUUAGUUGUGCUCGUGAUUAUAUAGAAGACGGGUGGUAAUUCAUCCGUCUUUUUUGUUUGUG
rfam:Desulfosporosinus sp. I2 contig00095, whole genome shotgun sequence.